GCAGCACGCAUUAUGAUCAUAAUCUACAUAGGAAUCCCAGGCAAUGUUCAUAUAAUUUCUCCAUGUCAAACUGUUUGGAGUUAUGUCAAUAUAGCAGAUUUUAAUUCAAACAAGAUCCAGUCUUCAGUCCCUAAUGUAAAUUGUAAACUGCAAGCAGUAAAUUGAAGUUAAAGACAGACCUUUGCAAAUAAGCAAUACUGCCUGUAGAGCACAGUCUGGCCCACAGCAUGGGGCAGGCUGCUCAGACAAGAUUAAUUGGGCCUGCAUCAAACCAGGCAACAUGGCUAAAUUAUAUACACCAUUGUAAACAGCGUCAGGGAAGUUUGCAGACUAGACUGAUAUUAGUUGAUCUAUCAAUAGUUAGGAGAUUUGCGUACUCAGAGAGUCAGCUGGAACAUUAACUUUGGGGGUUGUGGAUUCCUGUAUUCAGAAGCUUUGAUAUUAUUUGUGUGAACUCCUUUGUCCCAGUAAAGGUGCUUGAACAUUCCGAGGAGUCUGUCACUACAGAUGCUGCCUGGCCUUCUAAGUCCCUCCAGCAUUUUGUGCAUGUUAUUUGGAUUUCCAGCAUCUGCAGAUUUACUCUUGUUUGCUGGUGAGAAUCAGGAAAAAAUUCCACAUCCAUCUCGGUAAAUAUUUACAAUAGUGGAUUUACCUUGAUCAGAUCACUCUCUUCUCUCCAAGAAUUCAAGAGGAGCUCAGCAUUUAUGCAUCUUCAAUCAUCUAAACCAUGUAGGGAUACAUGCUUCAGCGACUCCUGACGCAACUGCACUGGCAGAACCAGCUGAAACCCAGGUCCUUUCUAUCACCAAGUUGGAACAUAGCUCCCCUUUUCAAAAGGAAAUAUCUACAAGAUUAGGGGUACGAUGGGGUGUUUCACCUUUUCAGCUUGGGCCAUAUCCCCUUUGACACAGGAUCUUGCACCUGUACAAGGGUCGUCUCACUGUGCUGCUGCCAAUUCCGCCAGACUCAAGGACCCUAAUCCAUAAGGCGAAGGCCAGCAAUGGCAUGUACAAGAACUACCAAAGUCUGGAACAUCUGGAAAGAUAGAUCUGUGAGCACUGGCACCAAGAUACGCCUCCUCAAGAGGCUCGUCUGGCCAGUCGCUCUAUAUGGCUGUGAAACAUGGACUCUAAGAGCAGCUGACGAAAAAAAGUUGACAACAUAUGAGAUGUGGACAUACAGACAGAACCUCAGGGUAUCAUACAUUGAAAGGAGAUCUAACAAUUUUAUCCUAGAAAAGAUUGGCAUGAAGCCAAUACUUCUGGAAACCAUUAUCCAAAGGAAACUUCGUUAUUUUGGACACAUCUCAAGAACUGACAAUACGCUGGAACGCACUGUGCUUGAAGGCAGGGUAGAAGGAAGCCACUCCCGAGGCAGACAGAGGACAACCUGGAUCGACAACAUCAAGAAGUGGGCCAGCCUCGCCACCAGAGGUGCAAGAGGUUUGACUGCCGACAGAUCGCAGUGGAAGAAAGUGGUCGCCAAGGCUCUGGCAGAGUAUGACACAUGAUGAUGAUGAUGAUGAAUCCAUUUACUCUGUUUUCCCAGUACAUCAUAUGCCAGUCUAUCAGGGAUUCUCCUGACUCUAUGAGAUCACCUUAUCUCAUCUUCAGCUUCUUUAGCCUCAAGCACUCUUGCGACUGUCCCUGUUUUCUUAGGGAUGCCUCCCCCAAUAUAUUAUUGUGCCUUCUGACAACACAGGUCCCCCUUUCACCUGACUGAGCUCAGCUUCACCCCCAGUUAAACUGGAGCCCACCUUCCACUCAGCAUUGAGUCUGCCUGUCCGCUGCUAGUUCCCCCUCCCUGUGCACUUCAUCUGAGCCAGGGUUGGGAAAUUAAAGAACCAGGGCAUUACACAAAGUAAAAUGUAGGAGCUGAAAGUUCAAAGUAAAUUUAUUAUUAAAGGACAUAUAUAUUACCUUAUACAACCAUAGCAUUAAUUUUCUUGCAGGCAUCACAAUAGACUCAGAGAAAGACCGCAUACAAUAGAAAGGACAAAUGAUCAAUGUUGCAAAAGACAAAAAAAAACCUGACCAAAUGCAAAAUAAACAAACAAAUAAAUAAAUGCAGUAAAUAACAAGAACAUGAGACAAAGAGUUCAUGAAUGUGAGUCCAUAGGUUGUGGGAACAGUUCAGUUAUGUGGCAAGUAAAGUUAUCCCCUCUCAUUCAAGAGCCCAAUGAUUGAGGGAUAAUAACUAUUCCUGGGCCUGGUGGUGUGGGUCCUAAGGCUCCUCUAUCUUCUUCCUGAUGACAGCAGUGAGAAGAGAACAUGACCUGGAUGGAGGGGGUCCCUGAUGAUGGAUGCUGCUUUCCUGUGACAACGCUCGAUGUAGAUGUGCUUAGUGGUGGGGAGGACUUUACCCAUGAUGGACUAGGCUGUAUCCACAACUUUUUGUAUGCUUUUCCAAGAAAUAGCAUUGGUAUUUCCAUACCAGGCCAUGAUGCAACUGGUCAAUAUACUCUUCAGUACACAUUGAUAAAGGACUAUAAAAGUUUUAGAUGCCAUGCUGGAUCUUUGCAAAUAUUUAAGGAAGUAGUGGUGCUACGAUUUUCUUUGUAAUGGCACUUACAUGCUGGAUCCAGGAUAGGUCCUCCAAAAAGAUAACAUCAAAGAAUUUAAAGAUGCUGAUGCUCUUCAGCUCUAAUUUUCCAAUGAGGACUGGCUCAUGGACUUCCGGUUUAUGCCUGAAUUCAAUAAUUAGCUCCUUGGUCUUGCUGACACUGAGUGAGAGGAUGUUGUUGUGGCACCUCUCAUCCAUAUUUUCUCUUUCUCUCCAAUAUGCUGAUUCAUCACCACCUUUGAUUCAGCCCACGACACUGGUACUGUCAGGCAAACUUAACUAUGGCAUUGGAACUGUUCUUAACCUCGCAGUCCAAAAUAUAAAGUGGGCUAAACACAAAGGCUGUGUUCAGGGAGAUAGUCGAGGAGAUGUUUUGUUAAUCUGAACUGACUAGGGUCUGCAAAGUAGGAAAUCGAGGAUUCAAUUGCAUAAGGAGGUAUUGAGACCAAGGUCUUAAAGCUUAUUGAUUAGUUUUGAAGAGAGAAUAAUAUUGAAUGCUGAGCUGAGGUCUAUGAAUAGUAUCCUGAUAUAUGCAUAUUCACUGUCUUGAUGUUCCGGUUUUGAGUGAAGAGUCAAUGAAAUGGCAUCUGCUGUGGACCUGUUGUAAGUGUAGGCAAAUUGGAGCAGAUUGAAGUCAGAUGGGGCUUCUGGACUCACUGCAGUUAAGACUGGCUUCAUGGCUGUGAAAUCACUUUCAUAAACUUUAGUUUUGAAUGUUAUUUGCUUAAGUUUUAAUCUUUGCAUGAUUUGUUCUUUUUUUGCAAGUUGGUU